rnacentral:rRNA from 1 species
AUGGGCCCCCGGGGACUCUACGGGAGGCAGCAGUGGGGAAUAUUGGACAAUGGGCGAAAGCCUGAUCCAGCCAUGCCGCGUGUGUGAAGAAGGUCUUCGGAUUGUAAAGCACUUUAAGUUGGGAGGAAGGGCAUUAACCUAAUACGUUGGUUCUUGUGUCCGCGGGUAGCAGCCG